rnacentral:misc_RNA from 1 species
AUCAACUUUAUCUGCCCCUUUACCCUCAUUAACACCAUAAGAGAAAUUAUUUUCCACCAAAUUCUUGCCAUCUGACUUAAUAACACAGAGCCCAUCCGACUUAAUUUUUGCACAGAUAUUGGAGAUGUCACCAUCAAAUACUCUUACACCUUGAUCCUCAAGAAUCAUUAGCCACUUGAUAAGAGCUAGAGGAUUGGAAACUUUUG